UACGGGGGGAGCAAGCGUUGUUCGGAUUUACUGGGCGUAAAGGGCGCGUAGGCGGCCACCGCAAGUCGACUGUGAAAUCUCCGGGCUUAACCCGGAAAGGUCAGCCGAUACUGCGGGGCUAGAGUGCAGAAGGGGCAACUGGAAUUCCCGGUGUAGCGGUGAAAUGCGCAGAUAUCGGGAGGAACACCAGUAGCGAAGGCGGCACUCUGGGCCGGUACUGACGCUGAGGAGCGAAAGCGUGGGGAGCGAACAGG
rnacentral:rRNA from 1 species